UUGGACUUAUGGUUUAUCUUGGAUUUUUGAGCUGAUUGUUGUUUUUGCCUGGAAUAUCAGCUGCCGUUGGCUGUUUUUGUGUUUUCAUCCCCCAGCUUAAUGGAAAUGUCAAAACAACGUACCAUAAAGAAAGAGGGGGGCAAUGAGAGGAGAGAGGAGACAGGGAGCCGUGAGUUGAGGGGUGGCUGGAGAGGGAGGGCCGGACGCAUGACAUCAUUCCCUCAGCUUCCCUGCGCGGACAGAGCUCUGGUUUCUCCAAGUGCGCACGGCAGCUGCUGCUGAGGGAGCGACUCCUCCUGCCGUACCCAGACGCGUCCUGAGCAACCUGCGCUCUUGGGGUGGAUUUAAAAAAUAUAUAUUAUUUAACCCGGCAGAGGGACCCGUGAACCGCUCCUCACUGGACCUGCCGCAAGGACGCACCACAUUUAAUACAAACCCCGGGGAUUAUUGCUUGUUUUAAUCAUGAAGAUGUGAGGGUUUACAAGCUGAGAAGAAAGAAAGAGGAACUCCGAGGCUGACAACAAGGUACAAGUGAGCGAGGAACAAGAAGAAGAAGAAGAAGCCGCUGGAGCAGCUGAAGAUAUGAAGCUAAAGAGGUUUUGAAAACAACCCAGCGCUGAGCUGAGGAUGUGAGAGAGCUAUCAUCUACCUGUCACAACGAGCUGGAACUGAGGAGCUCCCCCUGUACCUGUGCAGUUCUUUCAUUCAACCCGCCGCAUUUGAGGUUUUUCAGACCUGGAAGCUGUCACGCAUCAGCUUAGAAGAGUAAUGUACUCAGCUGCUUAACUUUUUCCAAGUUCAUUCAUAUUCACUCUUCUCAAUGUUGAU